GACGAACGCUGGCGGCGUGCCUAACACAUGCAAGUCGAGCGAAUGAAGUUCCUUCGGGACUGGAUUUAGCGGCGGACGGGUGAGUAACACGUGGGCAACCUGCCUCAUAGAGGGGAAUAGCCUCCCGAAAGGGAGAUUAAUACCGCAUAAGAUUGUAGUACCGCAUGAUACAGCAAUUAAAGGAGCAAUCCGCUAUGAGAUGGGCCCGCGGCGCAUUAGCUAGUUGGUGAGGUAAUGGCUCACCAAGGCGACGAUGCGUAGCCGACCUGAGAGGGUGAUCGGCCACAGUGGGACUGAGACACGGCCCAGACUCCUACGGGAGGCAGCAGUGGGGAAUAUUGCACAAUGGGGGAAGCCCUGAUGCAGCAACGCCGCGUGAGUGAUGACGGCCUUCGGGUUGUAAAGCUCUGUCUUCAGGGACGAUAAUGACGGUACCUGAGGAGGAAGCCACGGCUAACUACGUG
rnacentral:rRNA from 1 species